rnacentral:lncRNA from 1 species
AUGAAUAAUAUAUAUAUAUAUAUAUAUAUAUAUAUAUAUAUAUAUAUAUAUAUAUAUGUAUGUAUGUAUGUAUAUCUCAAUGUAAACUUAAGAAUAUAUGACUGUGUGUAACUGUGUGAGAGAGAAUUGUUUAGAUGAACCCUAAAACAGAACUCUAGCUAUAGAGAGAAGCAAAAACAAAAGAAAGAAGAAUGGGCAAGGGAGGGAAACGGGUUUGGUGUGGGU